rnacentral:rRNA from 1 species
UACGAAGGGGGCUAGCGUUGUUCGGAAUUACUGGGCGUAAAGGGCGUGUAGGCGGCCCGUUAAGACAGGUGUGAAAUUCCUGGGCUCAACCCAGGACGUGCGCCUGUGACUGGCGGGCUUGAGUCCGGGAGAGGAUGGUGGAACUCCCAGUGUAGAGGUGAAAUUCGUAGAUAUUGGGAAGAACACCCGUGGCGAAGGCGGCCAUCUGGACCGGUACUGACGCUAAGGCGCGACAGCGUGGGGAGCAAACGGG